rnacentral:lncRNA from 1 species
AAAUCCAAAUUGUUUCCUUAAAAGGGAGUGCAGUGCCUUUAUUUUUCUCCUUGCAUUUCUACUAGAGCAACAAGAUGGAAGCAACCUGAUCCCUAACUUCAAAAGUGUUCAACUAUGUUUCUAGAAGAAUGAUUUCUGAAGCUAUGUAGUCAUCUCUAAAUUUUUCACUACUGCUUCAACAACUUCCUGUGGUGCCACAUUCACACCAUGCCUAACAUCAAAGUUCUAUUAACUGAAAUACAAGUCUAAGAGGAAGUUAAUGCUAAUUCACAAAAGGAAUAUGAUGAUUCUAAUUCUUUUAGUAUCAACAGCUGUAGGAUGAUGCAUGAUGCAAGUCUGAAGUUGUAUGUGGCCAUCUUUGCCACCACAUUCAGAAAGCUUACCUGAGAAUGAAGUCAACAUUGGAGAGAAAGAGAAAGAGAAAGAAAGAGGGAGAACAUAUCAGUAGAAUCUCUCCACAAUGGCGACAAAGAUGGUCACUAGCAAGUCCAAGCCUCCAUUCUCUUUAAAACUUGCAAUCCAUGAGGACAAAGAAAAACAAUCUUUUUUUUUCCAAUAUCUAUGUUACUUCUAAAAGAAGAUAUUAAGGAAAGCCUGUAUGAAAUUUCACUCAUCAGUCAAGACCAUACUGGCCUUGAAUAAAAUUUAUAAGCAGUUUUUU